AACGAACGCUGGCGGCAGGCCUAAUACAUGCAAGUCGAACGCACCGCAAGGUGAGUGGCAGACGGGUGAGUAACGCGUGGGAACCUUCCUAGUAGUACGGAAUAACUUCGGGAAACCAAAGCUAAUACCGUAUACGCCCUUCGGGGGAAAGAUUUAUCGCUAUUAGAUGGGCCCGCGUAGGAUUAGCUAGUUGGUGAGGUAAUGGCUCACCAAGGCUACGAUCCUUAGCUGGUCUGAGAGGAUGAUCAGCCACACUGGGACUGAUACACGGCCCAGACUCCUACGGGAGGCAGCAGUAGGGAAUAUUGGACAAUGGGCGAAAGCCUGAUCCAGCCAUGCCGCGUGAGUGAAGAAGGCCUUAGAGUUGUAAAGCUCUUUUGGCGGGGAAGAUAAUGACGGUACCCGCAGAAUAAGCCCCGGCUAACUUCGUGCCAGCCGCCGCUGUAA
rnacentral:rRNA from 1 species